UGUAGGUCGCUGCUGCUUGCUCCUCGUCAGUCUGCCAACAGGAGCUGCUUCAGCCAGGCACAGACAGACAGCCACCAUGACAGCGAGCUGCAUUGUGACGUUCAUGGCUGCAAGCAGUACAUCUAUUAGAUAACUUCAAUACAUAAAAGCGUAUAUAAGAAUUUAACUUAUGGAAAAAAAAAAUUAACAUUUCUACGAGAAAAUAAAUAACAUUUGUCUAUCAUACAUAUUACUGUUCAAAUACUUUGGAAUCAAAAAACGCGCUCUGAGAGAGAAGAAACGGCGCAAAAACUCUCCCACACAUUGGGAUGACGUUUGUUUUUGACUUAAAUGACCGCACGG